UGCAAGUCGAGCGGUAAGGCCUUUCGGGGUACACGAGCGGCGAACGGGUGAGUAACACGUGGGUGAUCUGCCCUGCACUCUGGGAUAAGCUUGGGAAACUGGGUCUAAUACCGGAUAUGACCACAGCAUGCAUGUGUUGUGGUGGAAAGAUUUAUCGGUGCAGGAUGGGCCCGCGGCCUAUCAGCUUGUUGGUGGGGUAAUGGCCUACCAAGGCGACGACGGGUAGCCGACCUGAGAGGGUGACCGGCCACACUGGGACUGAGACACGGCCCAGACUCCUACGGGAGGCAGCAGUGGGGAAUAUUGCACAAUGGGCGGAAGCCUGAUGCAGCGACGCCGCGUGAGGGAUGAAGGCCUUCGGGUUGUAAACCUCUUUCAGCAGGGACGAAGCGUGAGUGACGGUACCUGCAGAAGAAGCACCGGCUAACUACGUGCCAGCAGCCGCGGUAAUACGUAGGGUGCGAGCGUUGUCCGGAAUUACUGGGCGUAAAGAGUUCGUAGGCGGUUUGUCGCGUCGUUUGUGAAAACCCGGGGCUCAACUUCGGGCUUGCAGGCGAUACGGGCAGACUUGAGUGUUUCAGGGGAGACUGGAAUUCCUGGU
rnacentral:rRNA from 1 species